GAAAGAAGGUGUGUAUAAAUAUCUGAGGGGAGGGUGCCAAGAGGAUGCAGCCAGGCUCUUCUUGAUGGUGCCCAGCAAUAGGACGAGAGGCAAUGGGCAGGAACUGAUGCACAGGAAGUUCCACUUGAACAUGAGUAAGAACUUCUUUACUGUGCGAGUGACUGAACACUGGAACAGAGCCCAGAGAGGUUCUGGAGCCUCCCUCACUG